GCCGGGCGCGGUGGCUCACGCCUGUAAUCCCAGCACUUUGGGAGGCUGAGGUGGGUGGAUUGCCUGAGGUCAGGAGUUUGAGACCAGCCUGGCCAACAUGGUGAAACCCCAUCUCUA
rnacentral:SRP_RNA from 1 species